rnacentral:rRNA from 1 species
AUACAUGCAAGUCGAGCGAACGGACGAGAAGCUUGCUUCUCUGAUGUUAGCGGCGGACGGGUGAGUAACACGUGGGUAACCUACCUAUAAGACUGGGAUAACUUCGUGAAACCGGAGCUAAUACCGGAUAAUAUUUUGAACCGCAUGGUUCAAAAGUGAAAGACGGUAUUGCUGUCACUUAUAGAUGGAUCCGCGCUGUAUUAGCUAGUUGGUAAGGUAACGGCUUACCAAGGCGACGAUACGUAGCCGACCUGAGAGGGUGAUCGGCCACACUGGAACUGAGACACGGUCCAGACUCCUACGGGAGGCAGCAGUAGGGAAUCUUCCGCAAUGGGCGAAAGCCUGACGGAGCAACGCCGCGUGAGUGAUGAAGGUCUUCGGCUCGUAAUACUCUGUUAUUAGGGAAGAACAAACGUGUAAGUAACUGUGCACGUCUUGACGGUACCUAAUCAGAAAGCCACGGCUAACUACGUGCCAGCAGCCGCGGUAAUACGUAGGUGGCAAGCGUUAUCCGGAAUUAUUGGGCGUAAAGCGCGCGUAGGCGGUUUCUUAAGUCUGAUGUGAAAGCCCACGGCUCAACCGUGGAGGGUCAUUGGAAACUGGGAAACUUGAGUGCAGAAGAGGAAAGUGGAAUUCCAUGUGUAGCGGUGAAAUGCGCAGAGAUAUGGAGGAACACCAGUGGCGAAGGCGACUUUCUGGUCUGUAACUGAUGCUGAUGUGCGAAAGCGUGGGGAUCAAACAGGAUUAGAUACCCUGGUAGUCCACGCCGUAAACGAUGAGUGCUAAGUGUUAGGGGGUUUCCGCCCCUUAGUGCUGCAGCUAACGCAUUAAGCACUCCGCCUGGGGAGUACGACCGCAAGGUUGAAACU